CGACGAGGUGGUGUGCAUAAGAACAUAUUGACUUCAUCAACUAGAUGGAGCAUUGAUUCCUUGAACCUGGAAUAUCAAAAAAUUUUAAAAUUACUACCCUUGAUGUAACUUUCAUUAAAAAAUAAUAAAGAUCAAUUUUUUAUAAAUUGAAAAUACUUUCUCCAUAUUUUCAAUCAUGAAUGAGGCCAACAAAUAUUUUUCAUCCUUGGAUGAGUCGAGC
rnacentral:lncRNA from 1 species